AGACCCUACGUGGAAUAGGGUUAGCUCUCUCUACCACGAAGGAGCCAGUGCUUGGAGGGUUGCCAGAGUCAGAUCACUAUGCUGCCAACUUUCGCAUCACACGUGCUGAGGACACUUCCUCUCCUUCCUGUUGCCUAACUGCCCGGGUACAGCGGGGUUGAAUCAGAGUUCAUGGAAACUGAACCUGCUCCAGAAGCUGACUAGAGAAAAAUUAACGUUAUAACUAAACUCAUCAUUAACCAGCAACUUGAUAAUUUAUAACUGAAAUGGAAACAGUGGUGAACAGAGCAAAGUGUAACGUCAAAAUUUAUUCCACUGGGAUAAGAGGAGGGCCCGAGUAUAUGGGACUCCAGCUCUCCAGCUGCUUCCUGUAGGGUGGCUCUGUUGGUAUCUGUGUGACAGCUCUGAAAAUAUGGUCUGAGGCUCUGAAAUGUGUUUAAUAAUAGCAUUUUAAAAAAUUUA